rnacentral:rRNA from 1 species
AUUGAACGCUGGCGGCAUGCUUUACACAUGCAAGUCGAACGGCAGCGCGGGCUUCGGCCUGGCGGCGAGUGGCGAACGGGUGAGUAAUACACCGGAACGUGCCCUGUCGUGGGGGAUAGCUCGGCGAAAGCAGGAUUAAUACCGCAUACGACCUGAGGGUGAAAGCGGGGGAUCUUCGGACCUCGCCGUAUUGGAGGGGCCGAUGGCAGAUUUGCUAGUUGGUUGGGUAAAGGCCUACCAAGGCGACGAUCCGUAGCUGGUCUGAGAGGACGACCAGCCACACUGGGACUGAGACACGGCCCAGACUCCUACGGGAGGCAGCAGUGGGGAAUUUUGGACAAUGGGCGAAAGCCUGAUCCAGCAAUGCCGCGUGUGUGAUGAAGGCCUUCGGGUUGUAAAGCACUUUUGGCGGGAACGAAAAGGACUGUGCCAAUACCACGGUUCGAUGACGGUACCCGCAGAAUAAGCACCGGCUAACUACGUG